rnacentral:lncRNA from 1 species
CCAAAAUAUCUCAAUUUUUUUAUAGCAACUCAAAAUCAUGCUGUCAGGCUACAUGUAUAUGUGUUGUACAUGGGAAGUGGACCCCUGGAGGAGAUGAAAGGUCUAUUUAAUAGUAUGUAAUGUAAAUAUAUAAAUAAGAAAAGGUGGUAUGAUUGCCAAUGAGAAAAGAGAGAAAUUUGUACAAAUGAAAAUUCACUUGUUUUCCAAUCCUAAUAAAACUGUCAAGAUUCACAUGAUAUUGUAAUGUUUACAUUAUUUUCAAAAUACAAUAUUGUUUACACUAAUGAGAAAAGACAACUCUUCACCAGAGAUUAAAUAGAAGUUAACAGCUAUCAUGACUAUAGGUCACCUUACAUCCUUCAACAAUGAGCAAAGCCCAUGUAUCUAAUAGUCCGCUAUAAAAGAUCCCAAAUGAAAAUGAUAAAUUUGUAAAACAUUUCAAACAAGAAAACUAACUAGACUAAUUUAUGUACAAAAAAAGAACAAAAAAACAAAAUAUGAUAUACAGCAACAAACCAAACCACUGAAUUACAGGCUGAUACUCAUGUACAGAAUGUGAUGGGGCUAGACUAGUAGUUUUGUGAUGCCAAACCCAUCUAUCUGGGGAUAUUAUUGUGAACAAGGCCUAACUCAUCAAUCUAAACAAAGCAGAAAGACAUCUUACACAUCCCCUUAACAAAAAAGACUAAGUACAUAUCUGAGAGUACUCCCUGAGUUACAUGUACCAACAGCUAGUUCAAAGCCAAUAACAAGACUUUUGGUGUAAUUAUAUGAAUAACUUCAAAUUUCAAAGUACAUGAUCAUGCAUGUAUCAUGAUUAUUAAAAUGACUUACUGUAAACCAACUAAUUUUCGCAGAUACUUUAUUUCGCGUUUCAGCCUUUCUUGUCCACUUCGUGCCAAUUUAAUUUCGCGAUUUUGUAAUUUACCUGAUGUAGUUUAAUAAUGAAAGAUCCAAGCUUUACAUUUUCACGACGAUUUAUAUUCGCGUUAUUUUUCUACUCACAAAAGUCGCGAAAAUAAGUUGGUUUACAGUUUUGCCCAAAGAUUGGCAUUAUAUAUCAUGUCGGAUUUAGAGCUAAAAUAUAACAACUUUUGUUCAGCUCUUCAUUCAAGGGUCAUAUUGAUUUUAUUUUAUUGAUAAGAACAUUCCAAUGAAUGUUUUUGUAUAGUCAAACUUUUUCAUGGCAAGUUUGGUGGUUUUAUUUAAAAGAUCAAAAUGGUAAAACUUUUUCAAGGCAACUUUGGUGGUCUUGCUAAAAAGUCAUAAUAAGCCAGUUUGCCAUAUCAAAAUAUUUUAAGGCAAUUUUGGCAGAUAUUUUUACUUCAUUUUAUUAAACUUUAUUUCUUUUAGCACUUUCAAUGAAAAUACAAGUCCUUCAAGAAGUACGAGAAGCUAACAUGGCUAUAGCAACAGAACAGAAUUCAUUUUAGGCAUUGCUUUCUAGAUUAAAUAGAUAGUAUAGUCAUAGAUCGUCAUAUUGAUUUAUGUGCAUAUGAGGAGCAGCAGUCAAGGAAUAAUUUUGUGAUGAGAGGUAUGUAAUGAAAUGAAAACUUUGUUUGAAUAUUUUUUUCUUGUCACACUCUGUACAUAAAAUUGAGAAUGGAAAUAGGGAAUGUGCCAAAGAGACAACAACCCGACCGUAGAAAAAAACAACAGCAGAAGGUCACCAACAGGUCUUCAAUGUAGCGAGAAAUUCCCACACCCGGAGGCGUCCUUCAACUGGCCCCUAAACAAAUAUAUACUAGUUCAGUGAUAAUGUUUCAAAGAUUUUUUAUACGCCCGUCUGACAAAAUAAAUUUUGGAGGGAUGAAUUAUCGAAUACAAAUGUCCGGUGCCCACAUGUGAAAAAUUAUUACACCAGGGUUUUCGAUAUCACAAACUAGUCAAAACAUUUUAUCAUCGGUAUAAGGAAUUCAUUUAAGGAAUGACUAAUAUUUUUUCUGUCUAUGAAGAAAUAACAUAAAAAAUUUGGUGCACACUGAAUAACGCGCGUAGCAGGUUAUUUAACAGUGUGCACCACAUUUUUUAUGUUAUUUCGAAUAGACAGAAAAAAUAUUACAGUCAUUUCUUAUAAUUUAAUUCUAAAUUCCAUUUUAAACCGUAGAAAACCAUGAAAAAACGUUGAUGACGUCACGGUAACGUGACCAAAUUAUGUCUAUGGGCUGAUAACAAAAUAACGUCAGCCAAUCAGGAGACGCGUUACAUCCAAAAUUAAAUUAUUUUUAAAUAUUUAUCACUCAACAUGCAGACAUCUUAUACGUUCAGGUAUUUCACAUCUAAUCUUUUAUGAUAAUACUCUUUACAAAGCACAAAAAUGUCAGCAUUCACCUCAAAAGCUAACAAAACUUUUAAUCAGACUUAUAAGAAGGGAUAUAUAGUUGCCAUACUCUUGUCAGGUCAUUAAAGAUUGCAUAUUUUGGCUUUAAUAUUGAUUAAACUAUAGGGUCUUUUGACAAAAUUAAACACAUUUAUUCUAAAACCAGUUGUUGGUAUGACAAGGUAUCUUUUUUGUCAGAUAUUUUUGUAAUUCAUAUCGUACGUCUAUCUAUAUCAGCAUGGUCUUGUAUGAGUUUUGAACUAAGUGCUAUCAAAUAUGUUGACAGGAGCUAUGUCUGAUAUACUGAAUAUAAAUUGUAAGGAAAAUUGCAUUGCAUUAGCAAUCCCACACAGGUUUACAUUUCUUGUAGAUUUUUAAGAAAAAGUUUAUAAGAAAAGAAAAAAAAAUGUAGUUUUUAUUGCUUUUUGACAGCAAAUUUAUUCAUCCAUUGGCGAGGUACAUUGAAAGGUUGUUCUUUUAUUAAAUGCAUGAAGUAUCAUAUGGAUGGCAACAAAUGACAACAGUUACAUGUUAUAUUCAUGAGUUUAAUAUUUCCUAUAAAUGGUGUAUUUUAACAAUUUUGCCUAUUAACUUAAAACAGCAAAACAAAACCCAAUAAACAUCAGUAGUUAAUGCCUGAAACUAUUUUUAAAGUUUAGACAGCAGAAAAGAUCCUUUUAAACAACAAGUUAAUACUGUACAUAUAUUUUAUUAGCUAAACUGUUAAUAUUUUUUCUGUUGUUUGUUUAGGUAUUGUUUAAAUUCACUAACAAUGCAAAGUAUAUAGUAAAGGUAUAAAUUAGUUAGCAUUAGCUCAUACUACAAAUGUACAUGUAGUUUUUGUCUGGACUACUUGAUUAAAUUCUUAAGAUUUACAAUUUUACAAUUUAAGCUUAUUGCCAAAUGAAAGGAAAGUACAGUAUUAAAAUCACUGGUGAACAUGUGCAUGUAGGUGUGAAUGUACUACAAAAAGAACUGAUAUCAAAGUAAGUUCAUCUUUAGAAUUGCAGUUAAUUUUGAUAAUACAUUGUAAUAUGAUAUAACAUGUAUAAGGCCAGGGUUUUUUAUUUUGUUGGUUUACGGAUUUUCCCCAUGAAAAAGUCAGGUCGGUCGGUCGGGAAAAAAAAAGAAAAAAAAAUAUAUGCAAAAUAAAUAUAUUUUUCACCUUUCUACCAAUAUGUUUGUUAUGCUAUUUUGUUAUCAUUUCUUUGAUUUUAGUUCGAUGAAAUUUUAUUGCUCAGCUGUCAUAAACAUCGCAUGACAUUCUAAUAAUGUCCCGUAAAAAAGGGGGUACACGGACAAAGACGAAAUUAAAUCGUCAUUUCACAAACAAGAAAAAUAGAUUCGCGUAGCUCUUAAUUAAUUCCAGAAAACUUGGUGAAUUAUGAUCUUCAAGCAGGAAAACUGAUAAAGAAAAAAAUGUAAAAACGUUGUACGAAAAUAAGUUUCAACACACGUUUCAAAAACGUAAUAGACUCGUCCACUGGAAAAACAAGAAUAUCGGCUUAAUCUGUUGUCAUGCAUUCCCGUUUUUUAUCCAAAUGGACGGUAUUUUUUUAUUAUCUAUGAAACAAGAAAAUUCCAAAUGAUUAUUUAAUAUUCAGUACUUUAACUUGAUGUCUUCCACCUGUCCACAUUUGGACAAUGUUCUUUCUAUCAUCUUACGGACUGAUGACAAAUACGGGAAACGAACUUAUUGUGUAAUUGGUUUCAAACACAAAGCCCAAAGGGCCAAGUGAGCUUUUCUCAUCACUUGGCGUCCGGCGUCCGGCGUCGUCGUCGUUAACUUUAAAAAAAAUCUUCUCCUCUGAAACUACCGGGCCAAAUUAAUCCAAACUUGGCCACAAUCAUCUUUGGGGUAUCUAGUUUAAAAAAUGUGUGGCGUGACCUGGUCAACCAACCAAGAUGGCCGCCACGGCUAAAAAUAGAACAUAGGGGUAAAAUGCAGUUUUUGGCUUAUAACUCAAAAACCAAAGCAUUUUUAGGAAUCUGACAUGGGAUAAAAAUGUUUAUCAGGUCAAGAUCUAUCUGCCCUGAAAUUUUCAGUUGAAUCGGUCAACCCGUUGUUGGGUUGCUGCCCCUGAAUUGGUCAUUUUGAGGAAUUUUGCUGUUUUUGGUUAUUAUCUUGAAUAUUAUUAUAGAUAGAGAUAAACUGUAAACACCAAUAAUGUUCAGCAAAGUUAGACUUACAAAUAAGUCAAUAUGACCGAAAUGGUCAGUUGACCCCUUUCAUUGCCUUUAGGAGUUAUUGCCCUUUAUAGUCAAUUCUUAACCAUUUUUCAUAAAUUAAAGUAAUCUUUUACAAAAAUCUCCACUGAAACUACUAGGCCACAAUCAUCUUUGGGGUAUCUAGUUUGAAAAAUGUGUCCGAUGACCUGGCCAUUCAACCAAGAUGGCCGCCACGGCUAAAAAUAGAACAUAGGGGUAAAAUGCAGUUUUUGGCUUAUAACUAUGAAACCAAAGCAUUUAGAGCAAAUCUGACAAGAAGUAAAAUUGUUAAUCAAGUCAAUAUCUAUCUGCACUGAAUUUUUCAGAUGAAUUGGACAACUUGGUUGUUGGGUUGCUGCCCUCCAAUUGGUAAUUUUUAAAGAAAUUUUGCCGUUUUUGGUUAUCUUGAAUACUAUUAUAGAUAGCGAUAAACUGUAAACAGCAAUAAUGUUCAGCAAAGUAAGAUCUACAAAUAAGUCAACAUAACCUAAUGGUCAAUUGACCCUUAAGGAGUUAUUGCCCUUUAUAGUCAAUUUUUAACAAUUUUCAUUAAUUUGGUAAAUUUAUGUAAAUUUUUACCAAAUAUAGUUCUCUGUUACUAAUGGGCAAAGUUCAUUAUAGAUAUUAUUGUAAGAAGCAAAAUCGUUCAGUAAAGUAAGAACUUCAAACACAUCACCAUCACCAAAAUACAAUUUUGUCAUGAAUCCAUUUGUGUCCUUUGUUUAAUAUGCACAUAGACCAAGGUGAGCGACACAGGCUUUUUAGAGCCUCUAGUUUUAGUUUCCAUUCUCUAACUAAGAGUUUGCCUCUCCUAUAUCAAUACACAUAGACAUUACGGCAGUUUUUUUAACAUUCUAAAAUUAACACGUCCACUUGUAUUUUUGUCCAUCUGAUGAGUAGAGCCUUUUUAAACUGAUUUUUAUACGACCCCAAAAAUUUUUGGGAUCGUAUAAUGGUAUGAUGUCGUCGUCGUCCGAAGACACAUUGGUUUCCGGAUAAUAACUUUAGUUAAAGUGAAUAGAUCUUCAUAAAAUUUUUUCAGAAAGUUCACUACCACUAAAGGAAGGUUGAGAUUGAUUUUGGGGACGAAGGUCCCAACUGAUUAGGAAUUAGGGGCCCAAAACAAGCAUUUUUCUAGUUUCAGGAUAAUAACUUGUGUAGAAGUAUUUCAGUUGCUCUGAAUUUAGGGCCAAAAAGGGGUCAAAACAAGCAUUUUUCUAGUUACAAGACAAUAACUUGUGUGUAAUUUUAUGGAUCUCUCUGAAAUUGUACCACAAUGUACCAUAUAACAAAGGAGAGGCUGGGAUUAAGUUUUGGGUUAAUUGCCCAAAAUAUGUAGGAAUUAGGGGCCAAAAAAAGGACCAAAAAGAAGCAUGUUUCUAGUUUCUAAACAAUCAUGACAAUAACUUGUGUUUAAGUGUAUGGAUCUCUCUGAAAUUGUACUACAAGGUUCAAUACUACAAAGGAAAGCAUGGGAUUGAGUUUAAGGGUAAUUGCUCCAAGAGGGAUUCAAAAGGUUCGGGGGAUGGGUGGGUUUGGGGGGUUGUUCACCAUUUUUUGAAGGGCUUUGGUUUUUUUUUCAAAAUUUUUCAAAUUUCGAAUUUUGAAAAGUUUCAAGAAAUCUCCAAUUGCACAGUAUUGCAUGUAUUGUGCAAUAGAUUUGUUAGAUCUUUGACUACAUUUAUUUUUUUGACAAAAACCUAUAUGUCAAAAAUUUGAUCACAAUCCAAAUUCAGACAGAAUCAAGCUUGAAUAUUGUAACCAAAUUUGGCCCAACUGUUCAGGGUUCAACCACUGGGGUCGUAUAAAGCUGCGCCCUGCAGAGCGCCUGGUUAUAGUUCGUUUUCAUGUUGUUCUGUUAUACCACUGUCCCAGGUUAGGGGAAGGGUUGUUUUAAUUUACAUUGUCAUAUCGGGGCCUUAUAUCAUGUAUAUAGCCAAAUAUUUGGUAUGGGCUUUACUCAUUGUUGAAGGCCAUACAGUGACCAAUAGCAUGUAUAGUUGUUAAUGUCAGUGUCAUUUUGGUCUCUUGUAGAUAUAGACAGUUGUCUCAUUGGCAAUCAUUGUUGUACAUUGUCAUUUCGGGGCCUUUUAUAACUAACUAUGCGGUAUGGGCUUUGCUCAUUGUUAAAGGCCGUACGGUGACCUAUAGUUGUUAAUGUCCGUGUCAUUUUGGUCUCUUGUAGAUAAAGACAGUUGGCAAUCAUACCACAUCUUUUUUUUUAUAUGCGUAUACAUUAUAAGCUGUUUGAGACCUCUUAAAUGAAUUACACUUUUAAUUAUUAUCGAAUUAUUUAAUUUACUUAAGUCAAAUUUAUAUUAUUUAUGAAUAUUUUAUUUCAGUUACCAUUCACAGUGAACAUGGUGAAGAAUAACCAAUAAAGGACAUAGAAGACUACCUCACAAACAUUGGAAAUAUUACAAGAAAAACCCAAUAUUUUGAUUCACGAAGAAGACAUUCAUGUACAUGUUGUACUUUGAAAACUGAAGAAAUAAAAUUGUGAAUAAAAAUACUUGGAAAUAAAG